UACGAACUGUGCAAACGUUAUUCGGAUUCACUGGGCUUAAAGGGUGCGUAGGCGGCCAUGUAAGUAGGGUGUGAAAUCCCCCGGCUUAACCGGGGAACUGCGCCCUAAACUGUAUGGCUGGAGUGAGAUAGGGGUGUGUGGAACUUCCGGUGGAGCGGUGAAAUGUGUUGAUAUCGGAAGGAACGCCGGUGGCGAAGGCGAUCACCUGGGGUUGUUCUGACGCUGAGGAGCGAAAGCUAGGGGAGCAAACGGGG
rnacentral:rRNA from 1 species